rnacentral:misc_RNA from 1 species
CAUAAUAAGUGUUUUAUGGCACUUUUUAAAUCCAUAUCCACCUUGUGUGCAAUGUCAGUCGAUCCUCUUCAUGGAGAUCGACCAAACAUCAACCUUUAUUUUUUAACUCUUUGUCUGAAAAAUUUAUGAAUAAACAAUUCAAAAUA